CCCCCCCCCCCCCCUCCCGUUGCACUCUCUCAAUUUCCAGAGUCAAUAUUUGGUCUGCGUAUUGCUUCAAGGUGGCGAGCGUGCAGUCCGUUCGCCAUGAUGAGAUGAGCAACUCACACUCACUCUUCUUGCUGCUGCAACGGGCUGCCAGGCUGGUGGUGCUGCCCGACUGGCUGUGCUCCUCCAUGCUGGCAUCAAAAGCCGGGUUGACUAAACCCGCCUCGUCUGACAGCAGGGCCACGGCGGCGGACGCGGGGCCGUCGCCGGGCAACGUGGCGAUGGUGAGCUCCGACGUGCUGUCCGUGCACUCGCCUUCCUGAGAGCGCCGCUUCCUGUCCGCCGAGAGGCCAUAGUGAGAGGCGCCUUUACACCUUCAUCGACAAGAGUGGGGGGGGGGGGAGAGUGUGUCAGACAACGACAAGCAUUUCGGGCAAAUAACACGUGAGUGAUAUUUUCAUGAAUCUUUUGUUAUGAAUAAUGUGUUGAAGCAGUUUUUGGCACCAAGUAGUUUGGGGUAAAGGUCAAUACAUUCAUGAGAGAGACUGAAAAGUUCACGGUCAAAAAAACGCAUGGGAGAAGACUUAUUUUUGGGUAUUUUAGAAAAAUCAAAGCUGGAUUCGACAAAAAAUGUCUUCCGGCCCAUCCAUAGUAAUCAACAUUGACAAGCACAGAUAGACAUGAUGCAGACGGACUUUCCAGAUCCAGGUAAAGCAAUCCCGGUGGAAUCUUUUUUUUUUUUCUCGUCCAUUUGCGCUUCAUCAGAGACAGAAAUUAGGUCUGCCUCACUUUCCUCCAGUCGUCUCUGCGGAGCCAUCAGCAUGGACAUUAAGUGGGCCGUAAUGAGCUAGAUCAAACCCAUGCUCAGAGAAGAAAAAUCCGUUCUCUGGGCCCAACCAGAGGGUUAAAAAAAAAGGAUAAUUCGAAGGCCUGCAGAGAAUUGGCUGACCUGACCGUGUCCAUAUUUCACGGGGAAAAUAACAUUCCUUUGCCUCUCUACAUAUCGCUGACAUCUUUUACUUUCAGUUACAGAUCGCAGCGGGUCGGAGGGAGCUUUACACAAAGGCCCCCCCCCCCCCCCGCUCCGCUCCGCGAGUCGCCAUCGAUCCCAUCGAGCCGCCGCACUCUUACGUAACACGAGCGGGGGGCCAGCCUGUGAGAGUUAUUCCUGCUCGUUCGAGAAAGACCCAUCGCAGAGAAUGCUUUGGCCUCCAUCUCUACCUCAUGUGCCCCCCUCCCCCCCCCGCAGGCAGCGUCCCGGUUACCCCGCCCUUCCACGUGCUGACAGGCGGCCAGCUCCCGGCCAACCCUGACCCCGAAGCCCUGGCGCUCACGGCACUCGCGUGAGGGAUUAACGCCGCCGCUGUCACUUACACUCUUGCUGCCGACGAGCCAAAAAGAAGCGAUGAGAAAAUGCUCUGACCGGCCGCAAAGAGCCAACAUUUGCGGGCGGGGGGUCAACAGAUUUAGCCUUCUUAAGCCAUCUGGGCGACGGAACUCACUUGAAUGAUUUAGGAGCGGAUAUUAAAGCGUGGUGCAUUGCGGAGGAAAUACAUCGAGAGAAGAGCUCAUUGAUGACUGUGGCCGCUCUCCUUUCCCAGAUGCGUCGCGCAGAAAAACGAUCUCUUCAAACAACGCUAUACAGCGGGGAUCAGACGUUCAAACAUAGGAGACGGAAGACUGUCAUGUCUAAAGUCCGCAGCUCCAUAGCCCGUUUUGAUGUUGCGAGAACCCGAAAUGAAGCGUUCUCGACACAAUGGCUUCCUCACUCCAUUUUCCCCCAAAGUCUACUCAGUAAUUUCAUCUUCUCUUGAAUGUUCAUGAUCUUCCUGCGGCACUGCGACACAGAGGGUUUGUGAUCCAGUGCGGUAAAAAGAGUAUAUAGUAAAAAUUGUUCCCGCUUAUUUGGCAGGAGAAACGGUCCCAACCCGAAACUCACUUAGCCGCAUGAAUAAAUGAAACGCAGCAUGCAUGAUUCAGAUGCACCACACUCGCUGCGCACAGACGUGCGUUGUACGUCAUCAAGCAAGCGUCUAAUGCACAUUAACUGGAUCCUCUGGUUUAUUUAUGAGGGUUGGAAUUCAUCUCCCCAACUUGCAUCUAUUUUCUGCACCCUCAACAGUUAGCAUUUAACAUUCAACUUUGAUCGCUAUUUGUUCUAACCUUCGAGGCGAUGUGGUUUUUGUUCAACGGAGACACACGUUUACAAGGUUGUUUUAGAUCACCGGUGUCAAAGUCAAGGCCCGGGGGCCAGGUCCGGCCCCCCCACUUCAUUUUAUGUGGCCCGCGGGAGCAAAUCAUGUGUGUCGACAAUCAUGAUUCUUGCUGAAAUCUGUACCGAAAUGUCAAAUCGUCAUAGGUAAUAAAUAACAUUACAAGAUUUUGCACCGGCCCUCCGAGGGAAGCCAGAAGUCUGAAAUGGCCUGCGACAAAAAAUGAGACACCCCUGUUAUAGACCAACAUAUUCCAACUAAGACUGCCACCCAAAUACCACAAAGACCAAUAUAUUCCCUUUUUGAGGUGUGCUUCAAUAUGUUUUUUUUCUUUUAUUGGACUUCAGAACCAUUUAGCCCUCCAUUAUGUCCAAAUAGAAUGAGACAGGGGCCCGGACGAAAAGUCUAAUUAGUUGAGAGAUUGAGUCAUGAGGUUCGAUGACCCGAUGACUCGGAACCUCUGCUGUAAAACCAGUGACGCGUACAGUUGGGAUCCAGCUAGCGCGUGCCUUUGGGGUUGCUAAUCCCGUUAGGGUGCGUUCAUGCUGAAGCGUGAUCAAACACCCUGCAGAUGCGGGCUGAACGGUUGAGCAUUCCCGAGCUCAUGGUAGUGUUUAAGAAGUUGAGCCUUUGCUCCCAUUGGGUUCCAUCUUAAGGAAACAUGGUAUUCCCUUCCACGGCUAUGCAGAUGACUGCCAGAGC